rnacentral:rRNA from 1 species
UAGGGAAUCUUCGGCAAUGGACGAAAGUCUGACCGAGCAACGCCGCGUGAGUGAAGAAGGUUUUCGGAUCGUAAAACUCUGUUGGUAGAGAAGAACGUUGGCGAGAGUGGAAAGCUCAUCAAGUGACGGUAACUACCCAGAAAGGGACGGCUAACUACGUGCCAU